GAGUAAAGAAGUAUUUCACUAAUGAUAGAAGGGAUCGGAAGGAUCGGAAAGUUAGUGAAAUACACUCGAUGGAGUGCCAGCAUGAAGUAGGGGGGCACAUCGCCAGUGUUCUCAGAGGGGUACGCCCAGUACACUCUCUCCCUAAGCUCUAACCCCCUCAAAAUUUUUCGGGCAGCAUCCAAAGAAAGGGUGUUAGAGCAGCUACCCGCGUUAGAAGAAAGGGGGUAGCCCGGAAUAUCAGUCAGAGAGAUUGUACAGAAGGAACCAUACCCGGUUCCA
rnacentral:lncRNA from 1 species